rnacentral:rRNA from 1 species
UACCAGCACCCCGAGUGGUCGGGACGAUUAUUGGGCCUAAAGCAUCCGUAGCCGGUUCUGCAAGUCCCCCGUUAAAUCCAGCUGCUCAACAGAUGGGCCGCGGAGGAUACUACAGAGCUAGGAGGCAGGAGAGGCAAGCGGUACUCAGUGGGUAGGGGUAAAAUCCGUUGAUCCAUUGAAGACCACCAGUGGCGAAGGCGGCUUGCCAGAAUGCGCUCGACGGUGAGGAUGAAAGCUGGGGGAGCAAACCGG